rnacentral:lncRNA from 1 species
GAAAAGGAAAAAGAAAGACAUGGGAAGAAAAUAAGGGAAGAAAAAGGAUGAUUACAAUAAAGAAAUGAAAGAGAAUAGUGGAGAAAAAAACAACCCCAAUUUUCUGCCUUAUGAUCCUGUUCUUGCAAUGACUAAUACCACUCUCCCUGAGCCAUACUUUCCUCAUUUAUAAAAUGACAGUGCUGAGCCAAAUAAAUGAGUUUUAACCCCAAUGAAAUAAUAUGAAAAAUUUCAAACAUAGGGCAAAGUUGAAAGAACCAUAACAGUGAUUAUCCAUAUACCCUCUACUUUCUACCGUUAAAACUUAUUUGCUUCAUUGUGUA